GCCCCGUUAACUCAGAGGCCAGAGUGCUCCCCUGUCCAGGGAGAAGCCGCGGGUUCGAUUCCCGCACGGGGCGCCA
rnacentral:tRNA from 2 species